rnacentral:tRNA from 1 species
AAUCUUAAAUGUUUGACACAUAUUUAUAUUAUGAAAAAAUAUAGUAUUAAUUAUUUUAUACUAUUAAGAA